CAACAAAAGAAAUUGACAGGUAGAGAAUUCAUAAAUGCCCUAUUUGAAAAGAACGCAAUGAUCCUCUUAAUUUACAUAUUCCAGAAUGUUCUGAAGAAUGAGUAGAGGCCUUGACAUAGUAAGAUACAUUCUAGAACAUGCAAAAUGUUCUAGAAAUUCUGGAAAAGGUGCACCAGCUGAAACCAUUGAGCAUAAAGCAUGCCUAAGUAUUUCAGCUAUGGAUGUUUGGAGACUUAUUGUGCCUUUCUAUCACACAUGCCACUGGUUUACCCUGCAGCUCACCCAGCACAUCCCCAUUCAGAAGGCAGACUUCACCAGUGCCUUCACUUGGAAGGAGGACCAGAUGUUCCAGUAGCUCCUGGAUACAGAGUACUUAACUCAUCCAAAGAAACAAUUUUGAAGACUAUGUCAUUGCUGUCCCACAAGUACAUGCAUGAAAGUGUUUGCAAGUUCCUCCUUGAUAAACUUGACAUUUUGUGCAUGUCAUUAUUUGGCAUUUCCAGAUUGAAGAGAAGCAGCAACGAUUUUGUGGUAUGA
rnacentral:lncRNA from 1 species